rnacentral:rRNA from 1 species
GAUCAUGGCUCAGGAUGAACGCUAGCGGCAGGCUUAACACAUGCAAGUCGGAGGGGCAGCAUAAUGGAUAGCAAUAUCUAUGGUGGCGACCGGCGCACGGGUGCGUAACGCGUAUGCAACCUACCUUUAACAGGGGGAUAACACUGAGAAAUUGGUACUAAUACCCCAUAAUAUCAUAGAAGGCAUCUUUUAUGGUUGAAAAUUCCGGAUGGGUUAGAGAUGGGCAUGCGUUGUA